rnacentral:rRNA from 1 species
GACGAACGCUGGCGGCGUGCCUAAUACAUGCAAGUCGAACGAGAGCAACCGGUGCUUGCACUGGUCAAUCUAGUGGCGAACGGGUGAGUAACACGUGGGUAACCUGCCCAUCAGAGGGGGAUAACAUCCGGAAACGGAUGCUAAAACCGCAUAGGUCUUCGAACCGCAUGGUUUGAAGAGGAAAAGAGGCGCAAGCUUCUGCUGAUGGAUGGACCCGCGGUGCAUUAGCUAGUGGGUGAGGUAACGGCUCACCAAGGCCGUGAUGCAUAGCCGACCUGAGAGGGUGAUCGGCCACAUUGGGACUGAGACACGGCCCAAACUCCUACGGGAGGCAGCAGUAGGGAAUCUUCCGCAAUGGACGCAAGUCUGACGGAGCAACGCCGCGUGAGUGAAGAAGGUUUUCGGAUCGUAAAACUCUGUUGUUAGAGAAGAACAAGUGCUAGAGUAACUGUUAGCGCCUUGACGGUAUCUAACCAGAAAGCCACGGCUAACUACGUG